UACGUAGGCAGCAAGCGUUGUUCGGAGUUACUGGGCGUAAAGGGUGCGUAGGCGGCGCAGAAAGUUGGGUGUGAAAUCCCUCGGCUCAACCGAGGAACUGCGCCCAAAACUACUGUGCUUGAGGAAGAUAGAGGUAAGCGGAACUUACGGUGGAGCGGUGAAAUGCGUUGAUAUCGUAAGGAACACCUGUGGCGAAAGCGGCUUACUGGGUCUUUUCUGACGCUGAUGCACGAAAGCCAGGGGAGCAAACGGG
rnacentral:rRNA from 1 species